AUUAGAUACCCUGGUAGUCCACGCUGUAAACGCUGUCGAUUUGGGGGCUGUGGGGUGAGCUUGGCGCCCGUAGCUAACGUGAUAAAUCGACCGCCUGGGGAGUACGGCCGCAAGGUUAAAACUCAAAUGAAUUGACGGGGGCCCGCACAAGCGGUGGAGCAUGUGGUUUAAUUCGAUGCAACGCGAAGAACCUUACCUACUCUUGACAUCCAAAGAAGAGACUAGAGAUAGUCUUGUGCCUUCGGGAACUUUGAGACAGGUGCUGCAUGGCUGUCGUCAGCUCGUGUUGUGAAAUGUUGGGUUAAGUCCCGCAACGAGCGCAACCCUUAUCCUUUGUUGCCAGCGAUUUGGUCGGGAACUCAAAGGAGACUGCCGGUGAUAAACCGGAGGAAGGUGGGGAUGACGUCAAGUCAUCAUGGCCCUUAUGUCCAGGGCUACACACGUGCUACAAUGGCAUAAUCAGAGGGAAGCAUCUCCGCAAGGAUAAGCGAAUCUCAUAAAUUAUGUCUCAGUUCAGAUUGCAGUCUGCAACUCGACUGCAUGAAGUCGGAAUCGCUAGUAAUCGCAGAUCAGCAAAGCUGCGGUGAAUACGUUCCCGGGCCUUGUACACACCGCCCGUCACACCACGGGAGUCGGUCGCGCCUGAAGCCGGUGGCCUAUCAGUAAUGGGGGAGCCGUCUAUGGCGAGAUUGGUAACUGGGGUGAAGUCGUAACAAGGUACC
rnacentral:rRNA from 1 species